AGUUCCCUGGUAUGACUUAGCUGAUAGCUCAUCCUUCACAAGAAUGCUUACAUGAAUGGCACCCGAGUUGGAAGGAAAGAGCUGUUGCUUUAAGCUCAUUAUUUCUUCCCAUUGGAGAAUCUGCAGAGCUUCUUUCUACAACUCACAGCAGCCAGCAUGGUACGUGUGUACAGAUGAAUGGUCAGGUUUGUCCUUCAGAGUCCCUUUGUACCCAGCUUUGCCCCAGAACUGCAGCGUGUAAUGAGCAGCAAAUGCAUACUCAUGUGCCUUAAAAGUGUACAGUGAAAACUGUAAAAAAAAAUGCCAAAAUAAAGACCACAUUCGUAAAUAA
rnacentral:lncRNA from 1 species